UGGACAGAUUAUUGUAUUCGACUGUAUUCACGGCGUGAAAUAGGGGAUUACACUGUUUUUACGGAAAGCGAAUCAAUUGACAUAAUCGACUCCU
rnacentral:pre_miRNA from 1 species